rnacentral:rRNA from 1 species
AUUGAACGCUGGCGGCAGGCCUAACACAUGCAAGUCGAGCGGAUGAAGGGAGCUUGCUCCUGGAUCCAGCGGCGGACGGGUGAGUAAUGCCUAGGAAUCUGCCCGGUCGUGGGGGAUAACGUCGGGAAACGGGCGCUAAUACCGCAUACGUCCUGAGGGAGAAAGCGGGGGAUCUUCGGACCUCACGCUAUCAGAUGAGCCUAGGUCGGAUUAGCUAGUUGGUGGGGUAAAGGCCAACCAAGGCGACGAUCGGUAACUGGUCUGAGAGGAUGAUCAGCCACACUGGAACUGAGACACGGUCCAGACUCCUACGGGAGGCAGCAGUGGGGAAUAUUGGACAAUGGGCGAAAGCCUGAUCCAGCCAUGCCGCGUGUGUGAAGAAGGUCUUCGGAUUGUAAAGCACUUUAAGUUGGGAGGAAGGGCAGUAAGUUAAUACCUUGCUGUGUUGACGGUACCAACAGAAUAAGCACCGGCUAACUUCGUG